AAAAUAAAUUUUCGUGGGAAAAAAAGAAAAAGAAAAGGGAGAAGAAGGUAAACGGGUCAAGCAAUCUCUCUAACAUUGCUUCUUUUCAUUCUAUUAUUGACAUCCUUCCUUCCUCCUCUUCUUCCCUUUUCCUCUUCUCGACUCCGACGAAUACCAAUUGCAUCAUCUUCUUCUUCUUCUCCCGAUCUUUGCGAUUUCUCAGCUUACAAGAUGGAAACUAGUGAGCCCGAUCCCGUCAAUCUCUAAGGCGUUCUCCGUCUCCAGGUAUCUCGUAGGGAUUACAACGAAAUCGCACAGAAUCUUAUAUUCCCAAGUUUGUGAUGAUUUCGAUUCAGUAAUCAAUUAUUCCAGAUCGAAGAUGAAUGCAAAAACAAGGUGGGGUCUGAUUAUCUCUUGGAGGUGGACUGAAGAACAUUUACAUGGUCAAUCAUAGUCACAGAGUCCUUAGGUUGAUGAUGACCAAACCAUGCGUGACACAGACAGCUUCUCCAUCAUCCCUGUGGCAUUGGAUGGUCAUGCGAAUAUGGUGGAUCUCCAUCUGGUAAGUGAAAAACAGUAAACAGAAAAAAUCAAAAAAUCAAAAGAUCAUAAUUGCAGCAAAGAAGCACACAAUCUGAAGUUUGAGAAGAAGAUUUCUGUUCAUGUAUUCACAGGUUAGAGACUAUUGAAGUGUAAUUUACAAUCUGAGCAAAGUGUGUGUUAACUUCUUUUUUUGUGUGUGUAGAAUUACGUUUGUAAUGGUCUUUGAUAUUAUCAUCAGCAAAGCACAGAAUUGAAUGGUUAUUAAAAGAUUAUCCUGAGAUUGCAAACAAAACGAAGCCUUGCUUUUGUUA